UUGAAUAAAAACAGAGCUUGAAACAGGGGAGAUGCAGUGAUUACAAAAAAAAGAUUGAAAAAUUGAUGAAAUUAAGAGAAAAUAAGAACUGGGUUUUGAAGAGGGAUGGUUUUAGAGGUGGGUUCUCAAUUUUGAGGGAUUUGGUGGAGAGGAGUUGGAGAAUUGAAGCAGUUGGAUUUCAAGAAAUAUCGGUUCAUUUUAAUAUCUAUCUCACUCUCUCUCUCUUACAUUGCUUUCUCCAUGACUCUCUCUCUUUGUUUUUCCACGUCUAUC
rnacentral:lncRNA from 1 species